UGAGGUUGAUGAGCGUGAUGCAUGACGAGUGUGGAGCUGCUGCUACAGAGCUCAGCUAGGAAGAGAAACAAAACAAAGUAGGCUUACAGAAAAUUAAGCUUCACCUUGGGACGGAUCAACCCGGAGGGGAGUGUCGGGUUUUUGCCCGAGCUGAAUUUUUUUACUUAAAUGUUUAAUUGUUAUUGUUUUUGGAGAAAAGCAGUCUGGGCUGUUGGGUUGCUGCCACGGGGAGUUUGCACGUCUGCUAGCCACAGGGGAAGUCCCGUUUGCUGUGUUUUUGGGAAAAGAGGGGGGAAAAAAAAACUACAUCUAGAAGAUGAAACUUUUGAACUAAGCGUCUGGUGGACUGAAGGGCUGGUGAACUUUUCAAAGAACCCUGAACCGACACAGAAUAAGCACCUCUGCUAAGGUUACAACCAUGAAAAGACCCUUGAGUGAAACACUGACCCAUUGGGUCCACAGCUGAACAAUUCCUCAUCCCUGAAAGAAGUGAGAUGAAUUCUGAACAGGCAGGGCUGUGGGGGUUUGUUGCUGCUAUCCAAGGUGAAAACAGCCAGAAGCCGAGGUAAUGACAUCUGAACGGAUGAAAGGUCCUGGGGGACAGAAGGAGUUUUGGAUGUUCUCCUUUAUAACAAGGUCAGCAAACUUUGAAGUCAUGCUCUGAACAGAAGCCCUGAGGCUCGUGCUUCAUUAAAGAGUUUCCACUCUGCUAAAUCAGGUAUCUGCCUGCUGAAUGGAGGAGCUAAAAGACUUUGUGAUGGAUAAAGAAAGGAAGAGCAGCAUUAUCAGCCGACGGG